UGGAUUCCUGUCUAGCACAGUAAAUUCACUGUGAAUUCAACUAGUAUUUGCUGAGCGCCUGCUAUGGACAAACCCUUGUGCUAGGAUCAUUUACAGUAGCCAUGACAUGGAAGCAACCAAGUACCCAUCGACGCAUGAAUGUAUGAAGACGACGUGGAGGAUCCAAUGAGAAGACAGACGUCUGCAAGCCAGGAAGAGGGCCUUCUCCAAGAACCUGGCCAUGUGGGUGCUGGUGUUGGAACUCCUGCAUCUA